GAUGAACGCUAGCGGCAGGCUUAAUACAUGCAAGUCGAGGGGCAGCAGGUCCCGCAGCAAUGCGGGAUGCUGGCGACCGGCAAACGGGUGCGGAACACGUACAGAACCUUCCUUUAAGUGGGGAAUAGCCCGGGGAAACCCGGAUUAAUACCCCGUAACAUAAUGAAGUGGCAUCACUUUAUUAUUAUAGCAGCAAUGCGCUUGAAGAUGGCUGUGCGGCUGAUUAGGUAGUUGGCGGGGUAACGGCCCACCAAGCCUACGAUCAGUAACUGGUGUGAGAGCACAACCAGUCAAACGGGCACUGAGACACGGGCCCGGCUCCUACGGGAGGCAGCAGUAAGGAAUAUUGGGCAAUGGCCGCAAAUCUGACCCAGCCAUGCCGCGUGGAGGAUGAAGGUCCUCUGGAUUGUAAACUUCUUUUAUCUGGGAAGAAAUCUAUUUUUUCUAAAGUAGUUGACGGUACCAGAUGAAUAAGCACCGGCUAACUCCGUGCCAGCCGCCGCCGUAA
rnacentral:rRNA from 1 species